AUUGAACGCUGGCGGCAUGCUUUACACAUGCAAGUCGAACGGUAACAGGGAGCUUGCUCCGCUGACGAGUGGCGAACGGGUGAGUAAUGCAUCGGAACGUACCCAGUCGUGGGGGAUAACGUAGCGAAAGUUACGCUAAUACCGCAUACGUCCUGAGGGAGAAAGCGGGGGACCGUAAGGCCUCGCGCGAUUGGAGCGGCCGAUGUCGGAUUAGCUAGUUGGUAGGGUAAAGGCCUACCAAGGCGACGAUCCGUAGCGGGUCUGAGAGGAUGAUCCGCCACACUGGGACUGAGACACGGCCCAGACUCCUACGGGAGGCAGCAGUGGGGAAUUUUGGACAAUGGGCGCAAGCCUGAUCCAGCCAUGCCGCGUGAGUGAAGAAGGCCCUGGUUGUAACGUAGCUUUGUUACUAGAACGAAAGG
rnacentral:rRNA from 1 species